rnacentral:rRNA from 1 species
CGAAAGCCUGACGGAGCAAGACCGCGUGAGGGACGAAGGCUCUUGGGUUGUAAACCUCUUUUCUCAGGGAAGAAUAAUGACGGUACCUGAGGAAUCAGCAUCGGCUAACUCCGUGCCAGCAGCCGCGGUAAGACGGAGGAUGCAAGCGUUAUCCGGAAUUAUUGGGCGUAAAGCGUCCGCAGGUGGCGAUUCAAGUCUGCUGUCAAAGACCGGGGCUUAACCCCAGAAAGGCAGUGGAAACUGAACAGCUAGAGUGCGGUAGGGGCAGAGGGAAUUCCCAGUGUAGCGGUGAAAUGCGUAGAGAUUGGGAAGAACACCGGUGGCGAAAGCGCUCUGCUGGGCCGCAACUGACACUCAGGGACGAAAGCUA